rnacentral:lncRNA from 10 species
GCCGAAUGUUUUCCUUGGCUGAAUGGCAAGCAAGCACCAAGUGUCCACAGUUUCCGGAGUGUGGAUAUGAACAGCCGUCUUGGGUCCUGAGGUGGAAGCCAUGUGUGGAAGAUGGAGGGCAUCGGUUAGAAGGAGUCUAGUCCCUGAUGGUCACUGAGCUGCAGAACCAGCCUGGGCUGCUUCCUGCUGGAUGUCACUUACUAGAGAGCGAAAUUAAAUGUGCUUCAGCUACUGUUACUUUGGGUUUUCUGUCAUUUGUAGCUGAAAUAAUC